CAGCCGCCACGGUAAUACGAAGGGGGCUAGCGUUGUUCGGAUUUACUGGGCGUAAAGCGCACGUAGGCGGGCUUUUAAGUCAGGGGUGAAAUCCCGGGGCUCAACCCCGGAACUGCCUUUGAUACUGGAAGUCUUGAGUAUGGAAGAGGUGAGUGGAAUUCCGAGUGUAGAGGUGAAAUUCGUAGAUAUUCGGAGGAACACCAGUGGCGAAGGCGGCUCACUGGUCCAUUACUGACGCUGAGGUGCGAAAGCGUGGGGAGCAAACAGGAUUAGAUACCCGGGUAGUCCCUGUCUCUUAUAC
rnacentral:rRNA from 1 species